CUAGGUGGGCCCUGAACUCAUGGUAAUCUUCCUGCUUCAGCCUCCCAAGUCCUGGGAUUACAGGUGUCCACCACUGCACCCAGAGGAAUAUCUUUUUUGAGGCAAAGACCUUCAUUGUCACAGUGGGCUCCCACAGAUUGAGAUGAAAUUUAGGUGCAAUGAGGCCAAUGACACCAUUAGAUCACAUCAUUUGCAGUAUUUCCAUUGAGGUAUUUACCACAUUACUGAUAAAGCAACUGAGCCUAGGACAAGGAAGAUAAACCAGCUCAAAAUCACAGAGCAGGGUAAGUCCUUGAGCUUCUGCAAACUUGGAAGAGAAAAUUAAUACCAGAACUAUUCAAGAACCAGGGGAUCCCAGAAGGGAUCAAACUCGGGUCCUUGUGCUUGUGCAGCAGGCGGCGAAACCACUGAGCUAAAUCCUCGGCCCCCUAAAAUGAUGACUUUUGGGGGUGGAUCUUCCAAAGCUGAACGAACACUGCCAUCCCUAUAACAAAACCACUUUCUACAUCCUGCCAGGAAAUGUGGGCAUGGACAUACACAGAAGGAAGAUAGUGUGAAGACACAGCAGAAUGCAGACAUCUGCCAGCCUGGGGGAGAGGCCUCAGAAGAAACUGAACUGGCCAACAAACUUGAUUUUGGACUUCCAGCCUCCACACUUGUGAGAAAAUACAUUUCUGUUAUUUAAGCCAUCCAGUCUGUGGUACUUUGUU
rnacentral:lncRNA from 1 species